GAUGAACGCUGGCGGCGUGCCUAAUACAUGCAAGUCGAGCGAACAGACGAGGAGCUUGCUCCUCUGACGUUAGCGGCGGACGGGUGAGUAACACGUGGAUAACCUACCUAUAAGACUGGGAUAACUUCGGGAAACCGGAGCUAAUACCGGAUAAUAUAUUGAACCGCAUGGUUCAAUAGUGAAAGACGGUUUUGCUGUCACUUAUAGAUGGAUCCGCGCCGCAUUAGCUAGUUGGUAAGGUAACGGCUUACCAAGGCGACGAUGCGUAGCCGACCUGAGAGGGUGAUCGGCCACACUGGAACUGAGACCCGGUCCAGACUCCUACGGGAGGCAGCAGUAGGGAAUCUUCCGCAAUGGGCGAAAGCCUGACGGAGCAACGCCGCGUGAGUGAUGAAGGUCUUCGGAUCGUAAAACUCUGUUAUUAGGGAAGAACAAAUGUGUAAGUACCUAUGCACGUCUUGACGGUACCUAAUCAGAAAGCCACGGCUAACUACGUG
rnacentral:rRNA from 1 species